GACGAAGGGGGCUAGCGUUGUUCGGAAUUACUGGGCGUAAAGCGCGUGUAGGCGGUUAUCCAAGUCAGGUGUGAAAGCCUUGAGCUCAACUCAAGAAAUGCACUUGGUACUGGGUGACUAGAGGACCGGAGAGGAUAGUGGAAUUCCCAGUGUAGUGGUGAAAUACGUAGAGAUUGGGAAGAACACCAGUGGCGAAGGCGGCGCUCUGGGCCGGUACUGACACUGAGGAGCGAAAGCGUGGGUAGCAAACAGG
rnacentral:rRNA from 1 species